UAUCAUAUGGAGAAACUGCUGCCAUUCUGAUUUAAUUGCAUUUUAUUUAUUGCAUGAGUGGAAGCAGUGGCAUAAGGCAGCAGACAGCAAAUCCCAUGAUACAUAAGCCUCGGCAGGAAAAAUGUACAGGGGCUAGAUUUCGUCUGUCUUUGACACCAAUGGCCCCAACCAACUAAAUAAUGCAGGAGUAAAACACAAAGCCGAGGCCAGCCCUGCUAUCUCUAUUGUGCCAGCCCUGGGAAACACAUUACAACAAAACAAAGCAAAACCAACAAUGAGGCAUUUGUUAGAACCAGCUCAGCUCUGAUCAGAUUUACAGCACAACAACAACAGCAGUGGCAGAAGCUCCUGAGGCAGUGUGCCAUGAGGCCAGGGCAGGAAAAAGCAGAGGGGUGGGCACAUUUCAUGCUGAUACUGACAGCAAAGAUCCAUCCCAGGAAAUCACAGCCUGACAGCGUGACAUAACAUGGGAAGGCCUUGGGCUCCUCUAGAAAGAAAAAGGGAGUAGAUACUUAACUAUAGGAGAACUGCAAUGAAGUUCCAUUAUUGCAUUAAACAUCUCACCAAACUGAUCCAAAAUCCCUUAUCAAAGAAAACCUAAUAAUAGAGCUGCGCUGACAGUGAACAUCAGUGUACACUAAUGCUUCUCUACUAAUAAGGACAGGCAGUGACACACUUAUGGUCGUGAGCAAGAAAGAUCAGAAGAGCUAACAAGGAAGAAAGAUACCCUUUAACUCCAUCUCAGUCACCCAACUGCCACGACUUGUGCCCUGUGUUCCUGCCUAAUGCAGGGCAGUGGCCCCUUCACUGCAUCAGCGAGAGGUUUCAAAAGCUUUGGAUGGAAAGCAGAAGGAAAAUCCCUCAUGCUACAGAUAAUACAGACUUGUGGUUUGGUGAUAUUUAUUUAAUGUCCUGGAAAACACAGAGAAUAAAAGCUCCUUUUGUGCGAAUG
rnacentral:lncRNA from 7 species